CCUACGGGAGGCAGCAGUGGGGAAUUUUGGACAAUGGGGGCAACCCUGAUCCAGCCAUGCCGCGUGAGUGAAGAAGGCCUUCGGGUUGUAAAGCUCUUUCGGACGGAACGAAACGGGCGAGGCUAAUAACCUUGUCCACUGACGGUACCGUAAGAAGAAGCACCGGCUAACUACGUGCCAGCAGCCGCGGUAAUACGUAGGGUGCGAGCGUUAAUCGGAAUUACUGGGCGUAAAGCGUGCGCAGGCGGUUUUGUAAGCUGGAGGUGAAAUCCCCGGGCUUAACCUGGGAAUGGCCUUCAGGACUGCAAGGCUUGAGUACGGCAGAGGGAGGUGGAAUUCCACGUGUAGCAGUGAAAUGCGUAGAUAUGUGGAGGAACACCGAUGGCGAAGGCAGCCUCCUGGGCCAGUACUGACGCUCAUGCACGAAAGCGUGGGGAGCAAACAGGAUUAGAUACCCUGGUAGUCCACGCCCUAAACGAUGUCAACUAGGUGUUGGGAAGGUGACUUCCUUAGUACCGCNGCACGCGUGAGUAGACCGCCGUGGAGGACGCGCGAGUAAACGUACAANAGAGUGAGCGNGNGAGNGCGACGCGACGACGAGGGAGAGG
rnacentral:rRNA from 1 species